UACAGGGGGGCAAGCGUUGUUCGGAAUUACUGGGCGUAAAGGGUCUGUAGGUGGCCAACUAAGUCAGACGUGAAAUCCCUCAGCUUAACUGGGGAACUGCGUCUGAUACUGGAUGGCUUGAGUGUGGGAGAGGAAUGCGGAAUUCCAGGUGUAGCGGUGAAAUGCGUAGAUAUCUGGAGGAACACCGGUGGCGAAGGCGGCAUUCUGGACCUAACUGACACUGAGAGACGAAAGCCAGGGGAGCAAACGGG
rnacentral:rRNA from 1 species